rnacentral:tRNA from 1 species
GCGCCUGUAGCUCAAUGGAUAGAGCAGCUCCCCACUAAGGUCCGGUUCCGGGUUCGAGUCCCGGCAGGCGCACCA